AGUGCGGGACGACUGCCGGUGAGCGUGAGGUCCUGGGCUGUAUGUGCGGAUACUGUGUGCGCCCGUAGAUGCGUGUAUUUAUACAUACAUUUAAUUUAUGUACGCCCCCUCCCACAAAUCUCUUUUCAUUUUCCCCAGGAGGAGACACUUUAAAUGCCCCAGGAAUCAUAAGUGGUCAUCAAAACCAGAUCACGACUAAAAUCCUGCAACUGCAGAAACUUCCCAAAAUUCUCGCGGACUCAGCCCGUCUUUAGAUCAUCACGGUUGGGCUCCGGAGGUUCCUCACGACCGCUCUUUUAAACCUCGGUUUUUAGGUAGACCAUUUACUCCAUUGAUAAACCCGAUCCAAGUGUGGACUCAUGAGUCCACUCUUGCACGCAAAUCAGUCACGGCGCGUGAGUGGGAAGGGCUUGUUGAUAACUGGGUUUCGAUUCUCGAAACCUCGGGAAGCGCGCCGGGGAGCUCUGGGCGAGCCCGAGAAGGCGCGGGGGCGGCACCACGGGCCUCGGGCGUGCGCGGCUCCUGCGCACGAGUGGCUCCAAGGGGCCAGUACUUCGCGGGGGUCAGGGCGCGUCACGGAGCAGACGCGGGCGAGCAGCCAAUGGCCGAGGACUGGGCGGGCCGAGUGGGCGCAGAGAGCGCGCCCGGGGAGUGCGUGCUGCCCCGGAGUCCAGGGAAAGGGCCGCUAGGUGUCCGGUGCCUUUGCUGCGAGUUCUCUGACAAAAUUGGAGGCGGCGAAGCGCGUUCCUCGCGGCCCCCUAAAGUUUGGCCAUUUUAAGUGCAUCAUAGUGUCAGUGGAAUACGAUUUGGUUUUCCACGAGACGUAAAAGUAGGAGUUUCAAGAAUAAAAUGAAUUCUCUCCUCCAGCUUCGGUGACUUCGGCAGAGCUAAUUCUACGCACGCUCACUCGCGCCACCACCACUCUUUGCUAGAAAGCUGUGGCCGUCUCUUCGGCAGCUCGCUGCCUCCAUCAACUAACCCGGAGCAGCUUUCCCAGCGCCUAGACGCUGCCGGGGGCUGAGGUGGGGCAGAGGGGAGAAUGCCAGGGUCACAGAAUACUCCCCAAACCCUGCUCAGCCCUGCCCGCCCAGACUGGGAGGAAAAACAGCCCGCACCUCCUAACUGGGGGAGCCCCGGCCUAGUCACUCAAGCUGCGCGGCUCGGGGGUGAGGGGUAGGGUGCGGGGGUGUCACCCGUGGAGCAUCCAGCUGCGUGACAACGCCGCCCCCUCCCGGUGCCCUGCCGAGCUGCGUCCCAAAAUGGAGAAAUCCGACUGUCUCUGUGGCAGAGGCCAUCCCCUCAGCGCUGCGCCUAAGCACUGAGGUGCGCCUGGGGACUCUAGGACAACUACCCUGUCCGCAUAGGGCCAUCGCUUCCUUCAGAGCACACCCAUGUGUUCCUCUGACCAGCCAUCGGCGCAUGAAUCUAUCUUAACCAGGCAUUUUAUACAUAUAUAUACAUAUGCAUAUUCUUGUGUGAGCAUGUGUAUAGAGAGAGCAUUUAGUGACCUGUUACGUGCCAGGCAACAGGCUAAGUGCUGAAGAUUUAAGAAUGACAUUUCACGUAAUCUAGAGGGCAUAGCACCUAGGUGCAUAAUUAUGGUUCAGUUGCAUAUGUAUUAUGAGAGAAGUAUAUUCUGACGCAAUCGCGUGGCGGG
rnacentral:lncRNA from 1 species